AUGAAGUGUACUACUGUUAAUUCGUGUCCACAUCUGGCACAUAUAGGAACUGGUUCUCCCUUCAGUAGUGAGUCCAGGAUUAUCCCAUUUAGCUAUGGUCGGUUUGAUGUUUUUAAGGCCAUUAAGAAAUGUAUAGCGAUAAACAUCUUACUAGAAGAGUCAGGUUGAAAAUAUUGUUGAACAAUAUCUGCAGUGUUGAGAGACUCGG